UACGAAGGGGGCUAGCGUUGUUCGGAAUUACUGGGCGUAAAGCGCGCGCAGGCGGUUCUCCAAGUCAGUGGUGAAAGCCCGGAGCUCAACUCCGGAACUGCCAUUGAAACUGUUGAACUUGAGGACGAGAGAGGUGAGUGGAAUUCCCAGUGUAGAGGUGAAAUUCGUAGAUAUUGGGAAGAACACCAGUGGCGAAGGCGACUUACUGGACACAUAUUGACGCUGAGGUGCGAAAGCGUGGGGAGCAAACAGG
rnacentral:rRNA from 1 species